UACACCAAAGUUUACCUGCCUGCUUCUGUGUGAUAUGUUUGAUAUUAGGUUGUUAAAUUAUGAACCAACUAAAUGUCAAACAUUCUCACAGCAGUGAGGAGACUUGGCACCACCUCCUCU
rnacentral:pre_miRNA from 14 species